AAGUCGUAACAAGGUUUCCGUAGGUGAACCUGCGGAAGGAUCAUUACCACGUAAAAAAAAAAUCCAAACCUUUUUUUAAUCCAACCCGUCCCUUUGUGAAUUUGGAAAAUAUCAAAAACAAAAAGAUAGAGAGAGCAAUGUGUGUGUGUGUGUGUGUGAGGAGAGCAUUGGCUCGUUCAUUGCCUCUCCUCGCAUUCACCGCUCUCUCCCUCUCUCUGUCUUUUAUUUUGAAACCCCAUUGUCCGAUUUGAAACAGUUUUUGUUCAAAUAGACAUCAACAAAACAAAAAAAAACCAUGAGACAACUUUUAACGGUGGAUCUCUUGGCUCGU
rnacentral:misc_RNA from 1 species